GGUCCAGACACAGUGAGGAUUGACAGAUUGAGAGCUCUUUCUUGAUUCUGUGGGUGGUGGUGCAUGGCCGUUCUUAGUUGGUGGAGUGAUUUGUCUGCUUAAUUGCGAUAACGAACGAGACCUUAACCUGCUAAAUAGCCCGUACUGCUUUGGCAGUUCGCUGGCUUCUUAGAGGGACUAUCGGCUCAAGCCGAUGGAAGUUUGAGGCAAUAACAGGUCUGUGAUGCCCUUAGAUGUCCUGGGCCGCACGCGCGUUACACUGACAGGGCCAGCGAGUACCUCCUUGGCCGGAAGGCCCGGGUAAUCUUGUUAAACCCUGUCGUGCUGGGGAUAGAGCAUUGCAAUUAUUGCUCUUCAACGAGGAAUCCCUAGUAAGCGCAAGUCAUCAGCUUGCGUUGAUUACGUCCCUGCCCUUUGUACACACCGCCCGUCGCUACUACCGAUUGAAUGGCUCAGUGAGACCUCCGGACUGGCCCAGAGAGGUGGGCAACUGCCACUCAGGGCCGGAAAGUUGUUCAAACUCGGUCAUUUAGAGGAAGUAAAAGUCGUAACAAGG
rnacentral:rRNA from 1 species